rnacentral:rRNA from 1 species
CCUACGGGGUGCUGCAGUGGGGAAUAUUGGGCAAUGGGCGCAAGCCUGACCCAGCAACGCCGCGUGAAGGAAGAAGGCUUUCGGGUUGUAAACUUCUUUUCUCAGGGACGAAGCAAGUGACGGUACCUGAGGAAUAAGCCACGGCUAACUACGUGCCAGCAGCCGCGGUAAUACGUAGGUGGCAAGCGUUAUCCGGAUUUACUGGGUGUAAAGGGCGGGUAGGCGGGACUGCAAGGCAGAUGUGAAGACCAUGGGCUCACCCUAUGGCCUGCAUUUGAAACUGUAGUUCUUGAGUACUGGAGAGGCAGACGGAAUUCCUAGUGUAGCGGUGAAAUGCGUAGAUAUUAGGAGGAACACCAGUGGCGAAGGCGGUCUGCUGGACAGCAACUGACGCUGAGGCGCGAAAGCGUGGGGAGCAAACAGGAUUAGAUACCCUUGUAGUC